rnacentral:rRNA from 1 species
GACGAACGCUGGCGGCGUGCUUAACACAUGCAAGUCGAACGGAAAGGCCCUGCUUUUGUGGGGUGCUCGAGUGGCGAACGGGUGAGUAACACGUGAGUAACCUGCCCUUGACUUUGGGAUAACUUCAGGAAACUGGGGCUAAUACCGGAUAGGAGCUCCUGCUGCAUGGUGGGGGUUGGAAAGUUUCGGCGGUUGGGGAUGGACGCGCGGCUUAUCAGCUUGUUGGUGGGGUAGUGGCUUACCAAGGCUUUGACGGGUAGCCGGCCUGAGAGGGUGACCGGCCACAUUGGGACUGAGAUACGGCCCAGACUCCUACGGGAGGCAGCAGUGGGGAAUAUUGCACAAUGGGCGGGAGCCUGAUGCAGCAACGCCGCGUGCGGGAUGACGGCCUUCGGGUUGUAAACCGCUUUCGCCUGUGACGAAGCGUGAGUGACGGUAAUGGGUAAAGAAGCACCGGCUAACUACGUG